UACGUAGGGGGCAAGUGUUAUCCGGAUUUACUGGGUGUAAAGGGAGCGUAGACGGCGAUGCAAGUCUGAAGUGAAAGGCGGGGGCCCAACCCCCGGACUGCUUUGGAAACUGUAUGGCUGGAGUGCAGGAGAGGUAAGUGGAAUUCCUAGUGUAGCGGUGAAAUGCGUAGAUAUUAGGAGGAACACCAGUGGCGAAGGCGGCUUUCUGGUCUGUAACUGACACUGAGGUACGAGAGCGUGGGGAGCAAACAGG
rnacentral:rRNA from 1 species